rnacentral:sRNA from 1 species
GUACUAGGAGAGGAGAGCGGAAGUGUAUGGGCAACUGCUUCCCAGGUGGUGGAGCUCACGGCGGCGAUGCUGCAGAUGCAGCUACAGGAAGACCGAUCCUUCACCCUUGUCAUUUUUCUAUUAAUCUCUCACUUGGAUAGGGUGUGAAGAUGAUAAUCGAGAUUGAGAAGAAGUUGACGCCAAAUUUACUUUGCUCACGAUCAUCAGACAUGUGUUACAAUAUUAGCAAAGAGACAGCAUGAGACACAAACAAAGGAACAGCAAAUCCUUGGUCGACCCGGAGCGAGGAGGAUGGGCACAUGACGUGCACGUGAAGAAUGAUGAAGCGACACUGAAAUUGUCCAGGUCGUUGAUGGUGAAAUUGUCGAAAUCGUCUUCGAGCUUCUGAGACUCUUUCCAUUGCAAACAAUUUUUUUAAGGAUUUUUUAUUUUAGUUCCUAUAUUUAGAGAUUAUACUAUAAGAACCUCCUAUCAUGGAUAAUAUAUUGUUUAAAAAUCUGAUUUGUUAUAAAUAGACAAAAGUUAGAAAGAUAACAUUUACUAGUGACAUGAGCAAAACAAGUGUAAAAUAUCAC